GAAAAAUCCCUGAAACUGGCACUCUCAGCAAAGGGAGCAUCUCAAGGACCUUGGGCUGAGUCCUAUUCAUCGGGGAGAGCAGACUCCUGGGAUGCACGUUCUUCACUUGUCCUGUGAUUAACUGUUGGUCUUCCAAAGAAUGAGCCAGAUGGUUCCCAUGAGAAGUGAUCAGCUCUCCUGGAGUCUAUGAACCAGAAAAAGACAGAGUCUGGGUGCCUCUUGCCAGGACCUGUCUGAAGCUGAGGUGAUGAGUGCAGCCCCUCUUUGGAUACUGAAAGGAGCACUGGGUAUCCUUGGCUUUAUCUCCACGAUCUCUGCAGUUUCUCUGAGCACUACCGUCGAAUACACAAUGGCCAAUAAGCAGCUCUUAGCUUUUUCAUUGAGGAUGGCAAUAGGAACUGUCACAGUUUUAAAGCCCACGUCCUCCUCGCUCCAAACCUGUGCUCCGUUUUAAUGACUUCGUAUGGCAUCACCCGUGUUUGGGGGAAGGCAGAGGAGUUUGCGAAGGGGCCCCACGCAGCGCAGACCGCUUAAGCCCAACGGUGGGCCCCAAAGGAGGCUCCGGGCUCCCACCCACGGCCCCGCUUUGCACUUGAAAGCACCAACGGCAGCACCGCCG
rnacentral:lncRNA from 1 species